AUUUAAAAUUGAAAUUGUAAGGCUGAAUGAAAGCCACAUGUUUUCUUUUCCGUUCUUCUUCUCUCAUUCUCUCCUCUUUCUUUCCUGAUGAGUUUUCUUUCUCAUUUUCUUCUCUUUCUUUCCUAUUUUUUCCCUUUCAUUCUUAGUUCUUUCUUUCCUUAAUGUUCUCUUUCUCAGAUCCGAACCAAAGCCAUAACAAAAGUUUGCAAUCCCAUUGUCGCAACAUCUCCAUGGCCACUGCUACAGCAGCUCCGACAGCCAUCAAUGUAGCAGCUCGCGAUCUAGACAAUAGUGGCGCCACCGUGAGCAAAUCUCGGCUCCUGUGGCGCCGUCGUGAGCAGAUCUCUUAGAGAUUCUUGUGACAGUAGAUUUGAUACUCUCUGUAGACUUUAUGGAUUUGAAAAUAGCUUAAUGGAUUUUGUGAUGAAUUUCGGUGAAUGGUUUUAAUUAUGUGGUGGUUGUUGAUUUGUAAUUGAUUCUUAGUUUUGGGUGGAAGAGAAUUUGUAAAGUUUUCUAUGAUGGGUGAGAAAUUUGUUUGGACGGAGAGAAAACUGAAGACCUUUUGUGUUAGAAGGCAAUUUUGAUGAGAAUUGUUUUUAGGGAGGCUUUCUUUGGUGAUAAAAAAAAAAAAUGUUACUCGAAAUGUUAUUCUUGAUCGUUAAUCCCUCAUUUAUUAAUAUAUUCAUUAUUUAUCAACAUUAAUCAUUUUACCGUUAAUUGACAAUUCAAAUUGCGCUGUCUCCUGGCACCAUUUCCUCUCUUCAUUUCUUCUCUUCCUUUCUCUUUCAUUGUGACUUAGACGCAUAUAAAACUAUUUUCCUCAUUUCUUCAAUUGAUCUUGAAGACCUGUUUAAGCGUAAUUUCCUCUCUUUUCUUUCUUUCUUUCAUUUUUGUUUUGUUCUUAAUUUGACUUUAAGUUUAUUUUGUUUUGAAACCCUAAUUCUUGCUGUUUGUUAUUCUGCAAGAAGUUGAAAAUUGUAAAAUUUGCCAAUCCUGAUCAAUAUUUAAGACCCAUUUAACUUUAUUCUGCAGGAGGUUGCAAAUCGUAUAAUUCGCUAGCCCUGAUCGAUCUUGAAGACCUAUUUAAUGUUAUUUCCUCCCAUUCUUCUUUUCUUUUGUUCUUAAUUUGAUUUUUAAAUUAUUUUCUUUUAGUUGGCUUGAAACCCUAAUUCUUGUUGUUUCAAUUUGUUUUUCUGCAAGAAGUUGCAAGUUGUAAAAGCCAUUUGUCCUGAUUGAACUUGAAGACCUAUUAAAUAUAAUUCCCCCUUUUCUUUUUUCCUUCUUCUUUUGUUCUUAAUUUGACAUUUUGAGUUGGCUUGAAAACCCUAAUUCUUUGUAUUGUGAUGAUCAUAAGAGGUCUGGUCUGGAUGCUAUCUUUGAUAUAUAUUCAACUUUGCAAGAUGAUGAUGCAAGAACAAACAAGUUAGAUGUGAGCUUUCCCAUGCAUUUAACUGGAUUUCAAGAAAGGGAUACAGUGAAGCAUAGUUGAAAGAAUGUGUGGAGGAAAAUGCAGCAUUAAACGUGUGGCCGAGACAUCCCCAUACAUUUGAUAUCCUCUUUACUGAUGCUUGGUGUGCCCUUCUCGUAAAUCAUUUAGAGGAAGCAAUGCCUUUUCAAAAAUUGAAGUGGUUUGUUUAACUGGUUUUUAAAAUAUUAUUCAAUGGGGAGUACUACUGUAUCAUGGCUUGCUUCAAAAGUUUCUUUAAUUAUUAGAGCUAGUUAGAAUUAUAAACUUAAGUUGCUAGAGCGUUUUGUAUUGUAUUGAGCUUAGUUUUGAAGCAUGAGUCUUCUCAACCCAUAUCCAUGAGGCAUUUACUCCAAUUUUUUGGAUGAGCUGGGGUUCAAAAUUAGUAAUAUAAAUAGUUAUUUCAUGCUCUCGCCAACACUUUUGUUACUAAAUUUCAACCAUUUUGAUGCUAUGCGUAGAGGAUUUUGAAGAAGGCAGUAUUAUUAUGCGUAGAGGAUUUUGAAGAAGGUGGUAUAAAUAAUACUCUCAGUGGGUGGCUUUUGCUAUUGUACAAUCUAUAAUCCUAGGUGUAAAGUCCGUUGUAGUGGUAUAUCUAUUCCAGAACAGGAAUGUUGAUUGUUAAAGGUGUCAUUCUCGGCAGCUCAAAAUUCUUGUUGCCGUUGUGCACCUAUUUUAGUCUGACUUUACUUGAAUAUUGAGAGUUUUGAGAGAAAACAGAGAGAAAAACAAAGAGAAGGUUCUGAAAAA